UACAGAGGAGCCAAGCGUUGUCCGGAUUGACUGGGCGUAAAGCGCACGCAGGCGGUUUCGCGCGUGGGGGGUGAAAUCUGGCCGCUUAACGGCCAGGCGCCAUCCCAUACGGCGCGACUGGAGUGAUGCAGAGGUCGAUGGAAUUGCCGGUGUAGUGGUGAAAUGCGUAGAGACCGGCAGGAACACCCAGGGGGAAACCAGUCGACUGGGCAUCUACUGACGCUGAGGUGCGAGAGCGUGGGGAGCGAACCGG
rnacentral:rRNA from 1 species